AUGGAGAAGCAAUUGUCCACCGGUGGUAAGGAAGUCUUGUUAAAGGCUGUUGCUCAAUCUAUACCAGUGUUUGCUAUGUCUAUUUUUUGCUUGCCAAAGGGGGUUUGUAAAGAUAUUUGAGAUGCCAUUGCUCAAUUUUGGUGGGGAGAUGAAGAGGAAAAUAAAAUGCAUUGGUUCUCAUGGUGGAAACUAUGUAUUCCGAAGAGUGAUGGUGGCAUGGGCUUUAGGGAUCUUCAUUCUUUUAAUUUGGCACUUCUUGCAAAACAAUGUUGGAGAAUGAUAAAUAUGACGGGAAACGUUGAAUGGAAAACAAAAAAUUCCUACACACACGCAAGAUCUAUCCAUGAAGAUGCAUAA
rnacentral:rRNA from 1 species